UGCAACCUGAGCUCAGGCGUGAUUACCCGCUGAACUUAAGCAUAUCAUUU
rnacentral:rRNA from 8 species